UAUGUCUGCUUCGCCUUAAUUUCGGCCCGUUCGGAGUGAAAUUGAGCCGGACACAUGAACACUGCACUGCUGUGAGGAUUUCGCGCUGGGUGGGAAGGGCUUUAUUGAGGCAAGCGUUUGUGACGUCACGUGGCCGCUGCAUACUCUAUCACUUACUUGCUGUUUCUUUCAGGGAGACUUUGAUGAGACAACACUGAGCGAAAAAACAUGGAGGAAGAAGGUUUAUUUGACCUGUUGGACCGGUCCAUCGACCCUCCUGAUGCGGGAGUCAUCAAUUUUAAAGCCCUGCGCGGUCUCCUGCACAACAUGCUGCAGCGGCUGUACGACAUGGGAGCGACGCUGGACCAGCAGCUGCAGGAGGCCUCGGAAAGCAGCGGGCAAGAGGAGGAAGACGAGGACGAACUGUCCAAAUGUAUGAAUCUCAUAGAAGACUUGGUAAAAGAAAAUCAGGAGCUCAAGGAGAAGUCAUGCAUCAUGGAGAAAGAAGUGGAGACACUUCAAAAUCAGCUAAAUGGGUAUGUUGCUGUGGAAGACAUGCCAGGCAUUUUGGAUACCGAGAAACAAAAGAUAAUUGAGGAACUAAGAGACAGAAUGGGUACCCCUGGGCCACCUGAUACAAGUGGAGAGAUUAAAUACGACAGUCUGGAAGCCCGUGUGCAGAGCCUGGAAGGUGGCCAAGAAAACAUACUGGAUCAAGUAAAUCAACUAAAAACUCAGAGGAUGGAGCGUUCAGGAGAGGAGCCUGCCAAGCCUGAGGCAACAGUAAGCCAGAGAAGAGACAGUCGACCAGAGCCGCAGCCUUACUUGCAAGCAGAUGACCUCAGGGAUGCAGUGCAAAAGCUGGAUGAGGAGAUGCAAAAUGUGAAGCAAGACCUGCUGAGAAUAGAACAGCAGAAGAGCAGCCCAGAUAUGGAAAUCAAGGAUACGCGGGAGGAUCAGGAACCCCCAUGGCUACCAGGCAUGGUGGAUCUGAGCACAAAGAUAAACCUGGUCUUUCAGCGCUAUGAGAAUCUUCAGAGCAUUGUUUCUGAUUUUAUGACACAGAAGGCCAGUGACAAGCCAUUGCAAAUCGCUGAAACGCCCUCAGAGUUAAGUGAUGAGAAGCAUGAGAAGCUCGAGACUAGAGCCAGCCCACCGAUAAAGGAUCAUGAGGAGGAACAAAGGCACAUCGAGCACCUGUAUAAGACUGUAAAGGAGCUGGAUGAGAGGAAGGCAGAUAAGAUCGCAGUGGAAAUUGGAAAAGACAUUGAAUCGGACAUGCAGGCACUGGAGAACAGAAUCGUUGUGUGUGAUACAAAUACAGUAGAGCUGAAAAAGGGUCUGCAAGAUCUACACAACAACUUCACAGACCAUGAGGAGAAUUGUCAAAAGGUUACUGAGAAGGUCUUUAGGGAACUCGACUCUAAGGUGAAUCAUUAUGAGCUGGAUCCUCUGAAGAAGCAGCUAAAGUAUUGCCAGACAAGAAUUCGCAAGCAUAGCCAGUCUGACAGUGAUUCUGCUGCUGCUGUCAAGUUACCGCUUAAGACAAGAUUCAGCUGCCUCUCCUGUGAUCGCCCAGUCUACAUGGUUACUCCUGGACCAUGUUGGCCAUCAGUUCCUAAGCUUCCUAAUUUACCCUCUCAAAAGCACCACAACAGGCUGAGGCCAGUCACUAACUUGGGCCUGUGUGAGAGCUUACCUACCAAGAAAAGCAUGGAACAGAUCACGAUGUUUGGAAAAAAUGACCCCUGCAAUAUUGAGGGACAUAGCUGCAAAGGUUCCUGCGUGGAGAAUGAAAAUCUGUGGUUUCCCGAGGACUCAUUACCACUGAUUGUACAGUCCCAACCGCAAGUUUCUUCGGCGCUGGCAAACAAGAAACACCCAUCUAAUGAAGGAUGUGCACAAAGAAAGUCACACUGAAGUGGCCGAAAAAUCAAGGACAUGGUCAACCUCAGUCAAUUGCUGACAUCUAGUGGAGAAAUCUUACAAAGCUGUUUCCUUAGCAACAGGAGUGUCCUGACACAGCAAAAUUCUUCUGCUUUCUUAGGGAGACUCGCUGACGUGAAGUAAUGGAGGAGAGAAAGAUUGAUGGAGAGGAGGUUAGUGUUUGGAAGGAGAGUCGCCGUCCAUGACACCAUGGGAUCCCUGCUUGGAGAAUGAAAAGCUGUGGUAUCCUGAGGCUUAUUGCUGCUAGUUGUACAUUCCCAACAGCAGGUUUCUUCAUUGUCAUCAGGCAAGAAGAACUGAUCGACCUCGCUUCUUGACUAAAAAUACAUUGGAACACUUAAAGUUGGAAUAAUGAAACCUGAGUAAAUGUCAAUUAUGUACAAGCUAAAUAAUUUAAUAUAAUAAUGAGAGAAAUAAUUUAGAUAACAUGCAAAUAUACAGGCCCAGGUAACUAAGUAGUUACUAAUAUACACUGCCCGAACAUUGGAUCCAUUGUAGAAUUACUGCAGCUGGCAACAAGGGUCAAUAAUAUGACUUUUGUUUCAGAAAAGACAAAUUAUUGUCCUGCUUCAAGCAAAAAUAAAUAAAUAAAUAAAGCAAAAAAAAAAAAAAAA